CGUAGGGUGCGAGCGUUAAUCGGAAUUACUGGGCGUAAGGCGUGCGCAGGCGGUUUUGUAAGACAGGCGUGAAAUCCCCGGGCUCAACCUGGGAACUGCGCUUGUGACUGCAAGGCUAGAGUACGGCAGAGGGGGGUGGAAUUCCACGUGUAGCAGUGAAAUGCGUAGAGAUGUGGAGGAACACCAAUGGCGAAGGCAGCCCCCUGGGUCGAUACUGACGCUCAUGCGCGAAAGCGUGGGUAGCAAACAGGAUUAGAUACCCUGGUAGUCCACGCCCUAAACGAUGUCAACUAGGUGUUGGGUGGGUAAAACCAUUUAGUACCGGAGCUAACGCGUGAAGUUGACCGCCUGGGGAGUACGGCCGCAAGGCUG
rnacentral:rRNA from 1 species